rnacentral:rRNA from 1 species
GAUGAACGCUAGCGGCAGGCCUAAUACAUGCAAGUCGAACGGAUAUAUGUUUUUCGGAAUAUAUAUUAGUGGCGCACGGGUGAGUAACACGUACAUAACUUGCCCUCAAAGCGGGGGAUAGCCUUGGGAAACUGAGAGUAAUACCCCAUAGAAUUAUUGGACGGCAUCGUUUGAUAAUUAAAACUACGGUGUUUGGGGAUAGAUGUGCGUCUGAUUAGCUAGUUGGUGAGGUAACUGCUCACCAAGGCGACGAUCAGUAGGGGGCGUGAGAGCGUGGCCCCCCACAGGGUACGUNAGACACGGACCAGACUCCUACGGGAGGCAGCAGUAGGGAAUAUUGGGCGAAUGGGACGAAAAGUCGUGACCCAGCACGCCGCGUGAAGGAUGACUGCCCUAUGGGUUGUAAACUUCUUUUGUAUGGGAAGAAAAUUACCGACGUAGUUCGGAGCUGACGGUACCAUAAGAAUAAGCAUACGGCUAACUACCGU